UACGGAGGGUGCAAGCGUUAUCCGGAUUCACUGGGUUUAAAGGGUGUGUAGGCGGGCUAUUAAGUCAGUGGUGAAAUCUCAGGGCUCAACCCUGAAACUGCCAUUGAUACUGGUAGUCUCGAGUCCGGAAGAGGUGAGUGGAAUUCCGAGUGUAGAGGUGAAAUUCGUAGAUAUUCGGAGGAACACCAGUGGCGAAGGCGGCUCACUGGUCCGGUACUGACGCUGAGGUGCGAAAGCGUGGGGAGCAAACAGG
rnacentral:rRNA from 1 species